UACGUAGGGUGCAAGCGUUAAUCGGAAUUACUGGGCGUAAAGCGUGCGCAGGCGGUUAUGUAAGACAGGUGUGAAAUCCCCGGGCUUAACCUGGGAACUGCAUUUGUGACUGCAUAGCUAGAGUACGGUAGAGGGGGGAUGGAAUUCCGCGUGUAGCAGUGAAAUGCGUAGAUAUGCGGAGGAACACCGAUGGCGAAGGCAAUCCCCCUGGACCUGUACUGACGCUCAUGCACGAAAGCGUGGGGGAGCAAACAGG
rnacentral:rRNA from 1 species